rnacentral:rRNA from 1 species
UACAGAGGUCUCAAGCGUUGUUCGGAUUCAUUGGGCGUAAAGAGCGUGUAGGCGGCCAGACAGGUCAGCUGUGAAAACUCGAGGCUCAACCUCGAGACGUCGGUUGAAACCGUCUGGCUAGAGUCCGGAAGAGGAGAGUGGAAUUCCCGGUGUAGCGGUGAAAUGCGCAGAUAUCGGGAAGAACACCCGUGGCGAAGGCGGCUCUCUGGGACGGUACUGACGCUGAGACGCGAAAGCGUGGGGAGCGAACAGG